rnacentral:rRNA from 1 species
UACGUAGGGUGCAAGCGUUAAUCGGAAUUACUGGGCGUAAAGGGCGCGUAGGCGGUCAGCACAAGUCAGUUGUGAAAUCUCCGGGCUUAACUCGGAAAGGUCAACUGAUACUGUGCGACUAGAGUGCAGAAGGGGCAACUGGAAUUCUCGGUGUAGCGGUGAAAUGCGUAGAUAUCGAGAGGAACACCUGCGGCGAAGGCGGGUUGCUGGGCUGGCACUGACGCUGAGGCGCGAAAGCCAGGGGAGCAAACGGG